rfam:Pseudozyma brasiliensis GHG001 unplaced genomic scaffold PSETBRA_SCAF26, whole genome shotgun sequence.
GGGGGCAUAGUAUAGUUGGUCAGUAUACUUCCUUUGCAAGGAUGGGAGACAGGUUCGAGUCCUGUUGCCUCCA